rnacentral:rRNA from 1 species
ACGGAGGGUGCGAGCGUUGUCCGGAAUCACUGGGCGUAAAGGGCGCGUAGGUGGCGUCGCAAGUCAACGGUGAAAGCUCGACGCUCAACGUCGAGUCGGCCGUCGAGACUGCGAGGCUGGAGCACUGUAGAGGCAGAUGGAAUUCCGGGUGUAGCGGUGGAAUGCGUAGAGAUCCGGAAGAACACCGGUGGCGAAGGCGACAUCCUGGACCGGUAUUGACGCUGAGGCGCGAAAGCCAGGGGAGCAAACGGGA